CGAAACCCUAGCGUAUUACUCCUUCCUUCUCCAUCAUCUUUCCACAUACGCAGCAGCCAGAUGCGGCCACAACGACAUCGAGAAUGGAGAAGGAAUGGCGUCACCUUAGCAUCGUCCCUCGCCGGUCGGCUGACAUCACUCCUCCGAGUGUUGCGGCCUCGCGCCGCUCUGCCUGUGCGCCCGCCGGGUUGCCAUUGCGGCGCCGUCGCCCCCCGCACUCUCCGCAGCAGCAACGGCGACGGUCCCGGGCCGCCCCGCGUCUACGGCCAUCUACCACGACUGGGCGCCCUUAGCUGGAGGUGCACGGCACCAUUGAGCGGCCACUGGGCCGGCGCCCUUAGCUGGAGGUGAGCACGCACGGGAGAAUGCCGGCGGCGGUGGCGCAGCUCCCUUCAGUGGCCGUCAGCGACUUCGUGUUGGGCCGUAGGGCCAAGGGCGAGCACAACGAUGUCUUACGGUGACUCGGGAUUUUAAACGUCUAGGUUUCGGAUUGAACUGAUUUGGGGGAAAAACGUGACUUAGGGCUUGAAGAAAAAACUUUGAUUUCCCCACCGACGACUCAUCAUCGUGUGCUAUGUGUUAGUCCAAUUCCAUCUUCUACUCGUGAAUGGCUCACUUAUGGAUGAUGCACACCACCUGCUCACCGAAUUGCCUCUACAACAAUUUUUGUUAUUAACCACAUAAACAUGCUCCGGUUUCUGUAGCACAAGAAUGGCGAUGGGGCAUAUGUACAGUUCACAAGCAAUGGCACACGGGAGCCGCUCACCAGUGGGCUGCCAUCGUGUGCCUCAGUUGCGUCACCAUGCUUGCAUGCCCACUGCUGCUAUGAAGGAAGUGUUGGACAGUUUUUGGCUUGAGCUUUUAGAAAGUGGUUCUCCAUAUAACGUGGUGGAUGUCCUUUUGGUUUUUGAGUUCCUAGAAAUACUAGUAUUGCUUUUGGUGUCUGACUUUGUUGGAUUAUUCAAACGGUGUGUAAGACAAGAUUGUAUGUUAUAUAUGUAUUGACCUCCAUGAUGUGAUGUAUCUGUUUCUAUAUCUCUAUGUGAUAGACACUAAGCUAAUUAAGCUUGUGGGUUUGAUAUGUGCCAAAUGUUUUUUCUAAUUGUAUUUAUUUUUUUGGGUA